rnacentral:lncRNA from 1 species
GGACCCACUCUCUGAGAUACUUUCGUCUGGCUAUUUCGGAUCCUGGCCCUGGAGUCCCUGAAUUUAUCUCAGUUGGGUAUGUGGACUCACACCCUAUCACUACAUACGACAGCGUCACCCGACAGAAGGAGCCAAGAGCCCCAUGGAUGGCGGAGAACCUGGCGCCUGACCACUGGGAGAGGUACACUCAGCUGCUAAGAGGCUGGCAGCGGACCUUCCAGACAGAGCUGAGGCACCUGCAGAGGCACUACAACCACUCAGGUGUGACUGCAGCAGCGGGGGAUGAGCACACCCCCUCACUGGCUACUCCCCAGAAGAGCGCCCCUGGGCUGUGUAUGGCAAUGCCACUGGUUGCUUAUAUCCUCUCUAGCCUUUGGCAAAACUUUGAAAACGAGGUUGUUCGUUGUGUAUUCUCUGUUCACCAUCUCCCCUGUGGCUCGUUCACACUGACCUUCUGUGGAAACCCCUUAUCCCUUGCCCCCAUAUUCCUAUCCCAUUGGUCCCUUUAUCCCUUGUCCUAUAUUCCUAUCACAUUGGUAUUCAACAAUCUUUUCUUUUCUCAUUCUAAAUUUGCUUACCUUGGGACUCAA